rnacentral:lncRNA from 1 species
CAGAAAGUGAAUCAUUUUCUCAAGACCGUAUGCGAGGAUUCUUAUCAAUUACGAUGGUUGGAUCAGUACUCCUUACCAAGUGAGAUAUGAGCAAAUGUGCAACGCAUUUACCAAGUUAGCUGAUAUGGUAGCACAUGACGAAUCACGGUCGAAGGAUAUUAUUGAUUGGAUUGAAUAUCAAACUAUUGAGCCAUCCACGUUGAAGUCUAGGACAGAGGUUUCCGUAGGCUUAGAUGGAGCAGCCCAAUGUACUAGUGGAGCCAUCCUUGACCCGAAAUACUCAAGAAGCAAAGGAGCUCCAAAGAAACUUCGCCGAAAGGGACAUUUUGAAACUAGUUCAAAGAAGUCAAAAACUUCUCAAAAGGUUUAAUUUUUUUUCUAUUUUUCAAUGUUGAUGGUUGGUACUGUGUAGUCGUGGAGUCGUUCUUUUUUUUUUUCAAACCGCACAAGGGCCAACAAAGUCAACUUUAUUGAGAAGGCAUAAAGAAAAUGAUUCCGCUACAUUCAUUGAUCAGGUAAAUGAGCUUUACAUUGAAUGAUAGCAACUUGUUCGAGAUGCUUGUCAUUGACAUUACCUAUUUCAUUUUGUAGGAUGUCCAUGUACAAAACACCCCUCAUCACAGCCUUCCUCAAGUCGGCACACAAGAGAGCGUGGUUGGUUAUGAUUUUGAGGUCUAAAAUAGAUUCAAAUGGAUAUAUUUUGUUGGAUAAUUAUUUUGUUAAGCCGUUGUAUAUGGAAUAGUUUUUGUAAGCUUCAGUGCAAUAGUUUUUGUGCAUGUAAGCUUAGUAGUUUUUGUCUAGUGAUAUGGGCGUUCUCAACAUUUGAAGCAAUGGAGCUUGAUUCUAUCGGAUUUUCUAGUGAUAUGGGAGAAAUUUGAAGUGAAGCCUGGAUAUAAUUUCAGAAAUUUGAAGUGAUGCCUCGAUGUAAUUGUCUCAUUUAUUGAUGAAGUGGGUUUUUUUCUUUCCAUAUUUUUCUGUUUCUAGUAAUGAUUUUGGGGAGAACAAUGUUUUGGUUUCAGUUUUAAUAUGUUACAGCAGAUGGUAGCCUUUCACUCAUUUCAUAUGUUACAGG